UGGAGCAAUGUUGUGAGACUCUGCCUCGAU
rnacentral:piRNA from 1 species